ensembl:lncRNA
AGGAAGUAGUAAGGUUUAGUGAAGUUUGCACAUGGCCAAGGAGACUGCCAUGAAUCCACAUGCAUCUGCCUUCAAUCCUUCGUCUUUUGGAGCAUCGUCUUUUCACACUUUCUACAUCAUUAAACCUGUGGACAAAGAGUAAUGGUCUUCAGAGUCUUGAUGGAAGAAAAGUGUUGAACCUUGCUGCCGGUUCCUCUUCUGUGCAGUGUGAAGAGGGAAAGACAGUACAGUAUUAUUAUGCUACAGUAAUUGUGUCCAACAAUCGGUUGUGCGCCUCCUUGCCCUGUUUGGCUUUCGGGGCAAAUAUUUGUGUGCGUCACAUAAGUAACAUGAGGUAAAGCUUUGCAUUGUGUUUGGUGUGACUGCACCCUUAGAAUUUAGGAGGUUGGCCACUCAGGUGGAGCUCAGACUCACUGCAUAAGCACCGCACAAGGAGCCAGCUCAAGCUGUUCAGGUGGAGCAGGGUGUGUAGACCCAGGAAACUCUAUGGAGGAAGUUAUUGAGAGGCAUGUGACCAGCAGUAUUAAAAAGGUCUUAAAUGUAUAGUUUCUUAAGAGAAAAAGGUGAUUACAUAUCAUGUCAUUAAGUUAUGUUACAUUUUAAUGUUGACCAAAUGAAAAUAAACAGUCAGACAGCAGUGUACUUAGUAAACUGCACUGUGUAUUGUUGGUUUUAGCACCCAUCACUUCUAGCAUUCAUGAUGGAUUACAACCUCACGUACAGCCUGACCCCAUCAGCACACACAUGCGUAUGCCAUUUCCCUAAUCCAACUUAUAUCAAAAGACACAAUUUAUUAUCCUUUCUCUUCUUGCAUUCCCCUCUGUUCGCUCUUUCUCCCGGGCUAUGAUGAGGUAUUGAGAAAAAGAGAGGAUUAAGUUACCAGGAAAUUGAAAAGGUGCAAGAGCAGCCAGAGAUGUGAGAUUACUCUGGUUUAUAACACAUCUCCUGAUGAGGAUAACACGUGUGUGUUUAACACAGUGCGUGAGACGGGUCCAGCCGAGGGUUGAGGGGGAUGGAGGGAUUGCAGGGUGAAAGGUGGUGAUAGACUGAACGAUACCUGCGGAUAAACAGGAAAGCGGAGAGGGAGGGGAGCUGUGUGCGGGUCUCUGAUGUGGUUUGGACCUCAGUGAGGUGAGGCGUGGGUGUGCUUGUGCAUAUGUAUGUUUAAAUGUGAUUGGAAUGCAAUGAGGAAGAAAAUUUCUGUCAGGAGCUUUGUAUAUAAGAAUCUGAUUAAUUUAAGUGUUUUUCAUGAACCAAUGGAGCAUAACAGUAUUUACAGCUUAGGCAAAAGUCCACUAUGCCUGUCUCCAUACCAAGUUUCCUGUGCUUCAUUGCCUUACUACAGAAUGAAUAAGUGUAGACAGAUAUACAUUUUAUUACUAAAUAAAUAUUAAUAUCAUAAUAACGGAAAACGAAACAAUUAUCAACUUUCAAAGUGUACUAAAAUUGUUUUAGAUGAAGGGGGAGGAGCUAAAAACAGACAGGAUGAACUGCAGGCCCUCAGUUCUGCAGUGCAGCUUUGUAUUAGUUAAACCAAGAUUAGCUAAUACAAGGCUUAAACUGAGUCAUGCAGCUUUAGGAGAGACCAAGACUAAAAGCAUGAAGCUGGAAAUGAGCAUAAUAGGUCCUCAUUUACAAACAAACAAACCAAAAACUGAGAAGCUCAUUUUGGUCUUCAAGGAAAGGAUUGUAACUUGUAACUUAUUGUAAUUUCUUGCACACCCGGCCAUUAGCCUGAGCCACCACUGUGUGAUGGUUUCUUCAGGGAAAUUUAACGCCAUCAUAUCAAAGUGGAAAAUAAAUGAACACAGACCCCAGAGAGCAUGUGUGCAUCCAUGAGAUAUGUUUGUGCUUGUGAUUAUGUUUGUAAUAGUGGCACAUUUGUAUGAAUAAAUCAUUAAUGGUGUUCACCAUGUGCCGUAGGUGUAUGCGUAUUAUUUGUUUCCACUUCCGUUGGCAUGUCUGCUCAUGUUUGAGCAAAAAGGAGAGCGACAGCAGGAGGUGUCUUCAGAAGCACUCCCUGCUGCGAAUCAAGCCCGGGUUUCCUCUCAGAUGU